rnacentral:misc_RNA from 1 species
GAUGAAGAACGCAGCGAAAUGCGAUACUUGGAGUGAAUUGCAGAAUCCCGUGAACCAUCGAGUCUUUGAACGCAAGUUGCGCCCGAAGCCAUUAGGCCGAGGGCACGCCUGCCUGGGCGUCACACGUCGUUGCCCCCCCAUCUACUCCUUCGGGAUUGCGGGGGGCGGAUGAUGGCCUCCCGUGCGCCUCGCCGCGCGGUUGGCAUAAAUGCCAAGUCCUCGGCGACGCACGCCACGACAAUCGGUGGUUGCGAAACCUCGGUUGCCCGUCGUGUGCGGUCGUCGCGCAUCGAGGGCUCGAAAAAAUUGCCGGGUUCCGGCUCGGCUUUCAACGCGACCCCAGGUCAGGCGGGGUUACCCGCUGAAUUUAAGCAUAUCAAUAAGCGGAGGA